UCUGGACUUCUUCUUAAAUCGUUAUGGGCGUCAAUAUGCUUCUCCUUGAAGCCAAGGUUGCUCCGGCGAUUUAGAAAACAAACUCAAGUUUUUUCUAUGAUGAUUUAAAGUCAAAGUCUUUACAAGCUGAGUUUGGCGAAAAGAGGAGCUUUGGUCGCGGUUUCUGUAUUACAGUUAAGAGAUUGCAACAUAUAAAAAAAUUACUAACGCUCUGCUUCAUAGAAGGAUAUUACUGAAGAAAACAAAUCUCAUCCAUGCCCAACAGAGUGGUUAUUUCGUGUUGAUAUUGUUAAUAAAUGGAAAGAGUCUUCAACGGUUUCAGUGCUGCCCAGAUGUUUAGAGAAUAUCAAGAUGUCUGAUACGGCCUUACUGGUGAGAAGAGCAUUGUCUUUAAGCCAAUAUACUUUGCUUAUGGAUCUUCAAUAGAUUCUUUUGUGAAAAGGGGGAUUAGAAUUCUUUUGGUUCAAUGGAAA